UUGGAUGUUGAUGGCUAUUUGUCCUAAAUUAUAUGAAAUCUAUUGGUUUGAUUCCACUGGUAAUCCGCCACGUGAUGAUAUUAAAGAUAUAGUUGAAACGUAUGUAAAUUUAUAAAUAUAAUUAAUACUUAUUAUUAAUAUAGUGAUGUCAAACAUUUAUGUAUAUUUUAUAUGUCUUAUAUUAAUAGGUCUUUGAAGGCAACAAGCAUAAUAGGUGGAAAGAAAGCAAGUCGUCAACUAAAAUGGAUUACAUGUUCGUGUGCCAUACAAUGAGGAGGUACCGAAUGCGGAUAUUAUGUGAUGAAAUUUAUUUU